UGUCCAAGAUGGGAAUCGAACCCACAGUGUUCCGCUUACCGGGCAGAUGCCAUGUCCACUAGGCUACCCUGGAC